AACGAACGCUGGCGGCAUGCCUAACACAUGCAAGUCGAACGAACCCUCCGGGUCUAGUGGCGCACGGGUGCGUAAGGGGUGGGAAUCUGCCCUUGGGUUCGGAAUAACAGUGAGAAAUUACUGCUAAUACGGGAUGAUGUCUUCGGACCAAAGAUUUAUCGCCCAGGGAUGAGCCCGCGUAGGAUUAGCUAGUUGGUAGGGUAAUGGCCUACCAAGGCGACGAUCCUUAGCUGGUCUGAGAGGAUGAUCAGCCACACUGGGACUGAGACACGGCCCAGACUCCUACGGGAGGCAGCAGUGGGGAAUAUUGGACAAUGGGCGCAAGCCUGAUCCAGCAAUGCCGCGUGAGUGAUGAAGGCCUUAGGGUUGUAAAGCUCUUUUACCCGGGAUGAUAAUGACAGUACCGGGAGAAUAAGCCCCGGCUAACUCCGUG
rnacentral:rRNA from 1 species